rnacentral:lncRNA from 1 species
AUGCUCCCGGGGGGGUUUUUUGUCAUUUUUUUGGGGACAAAUUUGGGGACACCGGGGGGUGACAGCGGCGCCAAAGUGGAAUUUAUUGGGGGGGACAAGCCCGAAAUCCUCCCCAAAAUCCUCCAAAAAACCCCAAAAUCCUCCAAACCCCAAAUUCCCCCAAAACCCCAAAAUCCACAAAAAUCUCCAAACUCCAAAAUCCUCCAAAACCCCAAAAUCCAUAAAAAACCAAAACCCCCAAAUUCCUCCAAAACCUCCAAAGUCCCCCAAAAUCCACAAAAAAUCCAAAACCCCAAAAUACCCCAAAACCUCAAAAUCCUCCAGAAACCCCAAAAUCCUCCAAAACCCAAAAAUUCCCCCAAAACCCCAAAAUUACUCCAAACCCCCAAAAUCCUCCCAAAAUCUGCAAAAAACCCAAAACCCCAAAAUCCCCCAAAAACAUCAAAAUCCUCCAAAAACCCCCAAAUCCUCCAAAAAACUCAAAAUCCUCCAAAAACCCCCAAAUUCCCCCAAAACCCCCAAAUCCACAAAAAAUCCAAAACCCCAAAACCUCAAAAUCCUCCAAAAACCCCCAAUUCCUCCAAAACCCCCAAAUUUCCCCAAAACCCCAAAAUCCACAAAAAAUCCAAAACACCAAAAUCUUCAAAAAACCCCCAAAUCCUCCAAAACCUCAAAAUCCUCCAAAAACCCCCAAAUCCUCCAAAAAACUCAAAAUCCUCCAAAAAACUCAAAAUCCUCCAAAAACCUCCCAAAUCCUCCAAAACCCCAAAAUCCUCCAAAAACCCCCAAAUCCUCCAAAAACCUCAAAAUCUUCCAAAAACCCCAAAAUUCCUCCAAAACCCAAAAAUUUCCCCAAAACCCCAAAAUCCUCCAAAAACCCCCAAAAACCUCAAAAUCCCCCAAAUCCUCCAAAACCCCAAAAUCCUCCCAAAAUCCACAAAAAUCCCAAAACCCCAAAAACCGCCCAAAAUCCAAAAACCGCCCAAAAUCCCCCAAAAUCUUCCGAAACCCCAAAAUUCCUCAAAACCCCCCAAAAUAAGGUUCUGGAAGGUUCCUGGAGGAUCUGUGAUGGUUCCAGGACAUUCCAAGAGGAUCUAG